rnacentral:lncRNA from 1 species
CAUUUAUUGCAGAAAAAAUAUGAGGCUUGCUGGUAGUAUUCCCAGGUGACAAAUGUGCACCCAACACCCUACAGAAAAGAAGAACCAUAAAAUAAUUAAUUAUUCCAUUGUAACUCCUGCCUGGAAAACAUCUGAAAGAAGUCACUAGAUUCAGCCCACAUUCAAGAUGAGAAAUACCAGAAGGCAGAGAACACUGAGGCUGUUUUAGAGGCUGUCAACCCCAGGGAGACAGACAGCAAAUAAGUAAGCAAAUAAAUAAAAAUGGAAGGUGAUAAUAAGUGCAAUGAAAAGAAAUGAAGCAGAGUAAAGAAUCAAGAGUAGCAGUUGAGGGGAUGCUUGGAUGUUUUCACACCACUCUGACACAUGGAUGGAAGGUUAGAAGACAACAAAGGAAUGGGCUGGGAAGGACUCCAAAAGCAGAAUCAGAGAUUAUAUCAUUCCUUGGAAAUGGAGAAAAGGAUCAAAAAAGCUGAAUAAAAGGCAAACAUGGAGGAACAGAGUUUGGAGCAAUACCCUGACUUACAUUCAGUACUGUUAAUGGCUCCAGCAUCUUGAAACAAACCAAUUUUGGAUUUUCAGCCGCUGUCCAAGAUGACGUGAACUCCAGGCUAUUGACUUUCCUCUACCUUCAAUGGAAAUUGUCAUGGAGAAUUAAGUUUUUGACAAAUCUACAGCCUAUGUGCAGGGCUUCUUCCUGGGUGUAACAAUAAGGAAUUUGGAAACUGUCUCUAGUUUUGGCCUGGAGUCACACUGCAGCUUGAGACCCUGUCAUUUCCAUCAAGCUUGAAAAUAUACAUCUUAAUAAACUGCAAUACUUCUUAAACCUU